rnacentral:rRNA from 1 species
UACGGAGGGUGCAGGCGUUAUCCGGAUUCACUGGGUUUAAAGGGUGCGUAGGCGGAUUGGUAAGUCCGUGGUGAAAUCCCCGAGCUUAACUUGGGAACUGCCGUGGAUACUAUCAGUCUUGAAUAUCGUGGAGGUAAGCGGAAUAUGUCAUGUAGCGGUGAAAUGCUUAGAUAUGACAUAGAACACCAAUUGCGUAGGCAGCUUACUACUCGAUCAUUGACGCUGAGGCACGAAAGCGUGGGGAGCAAACAGG